CUACAGUGCUAUAGCGUUGAUGUGUAAGCUAUUUGGAAAUUUAGCGAAACAAAUAAACUACGUAGAAAAAAGCUUACGCGACGCUAUAUAGCCCACUGCAGUAAUGCUAUUCAAACACUGAUUGGGUAUAAAGAGAGUUUUCAGAGGUAGAAAGAUGUCCAUCGGGAAGAGGGAGGAACAGAGGAAGGGCAAGGCUCAGUCCCAUCAAUAAUGGUGACCAUAUCAUAGUGUUUGAGCACAGGGAGAAAGAAAUCUUUUAGGAGGAGGUAAUUUUCUCUUGUAAGUUCGAUGGGGAGGAGGUUGGGGACAUGUUGAGGAGCAAUUUGUGUAAUCAAAGGAACGGGAUCAGAAGAGGAGCUCUAGGGAUGUCAGAAAAGGGGUUGGUAUGAAACCUUUGAGUUUUGCAAAGAUGAUUUGAACAAACUGCCGAUCCACCAAAUUGGGUCAAGCUUUAUUCUCAAUCCCCUCUCUCACACUCUAAUUCUUCAGUCUCUCAAUCUGAGAGAUUUGAUGGAGGUGAACCAGGAGAAGAAGUUGUUGCUUCUUGAGAACUCAUUUCAUCGCUCCCCACCGCUCAGCUUGCAUCGCAUAAGCAAAGCCAAUGGUUUUAAAUCUGGAAAUAAAAUAUUUCUGAUUGUAUGUGUUUAUUUAUAUCCUUGCCUUGCUCUUGUAAUUGUUUUGCUUGGCUACAGGUCAUGUCGGCUGAUCUCUUGUAAUGAAAUAUUAUUCUAUUCUUGCUGCAAAUCCUUCAGAGACGAUGAGAUAAAUUCAACAUAAUUGGAUUUCCUA